CAAAACUGUUGACCUUGACUUGUA
rnacentral:miRNA from 1 species